CCUACGGGAGGCAGCAGUUGGGAAUCUUGCACAAUGGGGGAAACCCUGAUGCAGCGACGCCGCGUGGAGGAUGAAGGAUUUAGGUCUGUAAACUCCUUUUAUCUGGAAAGACUUAGGACGGUACCCGAUGAAUAAGGACCGGCUAACUACGUGCCAGCAGCCGCGGUAAGACGUAGGGUCCAAGCGUUGUCCGGAUUUACUGGGCGUAAAGAGCGCGUAGGCGGUCUGUUAAGUGUAGAGUGAAAGCUCCGGGCUCAACCCGGAAACUGCUCUGCAUACUGGCAGACUGGAGGAAUGGAGAGGUAUGUGGAAUUCCUGGUGUAGCGGUGAAAUGCGUUGAUAUCAGGAGGAACACCCAUGGCGAAGGCAGCAUACUGGCCAUUAUCUGACGCUGAGGCGCGAAAGCGUGGGUAGCAAACAGGAUUAGAUACCCUGGUAGUCCACGCCCUAAACUAUGGAUACUAGACGUAAGAGGUAUCGACCCCUCUUGUGUCGCAGCUAACGCAUUAAGUAUCCCGCCUGGGGAGUACGGCCGCAAGGUUGAAACUCAAAGGAAUUGACGGCUGAGACGNGCGAGCGCACGAGGAGAGG
rnacentral:rRNA from 1 species